GAGGAGGCUGUGGUUGCCGGGGCAUCAGGCACGGAGUCAGCAGCACUGGAGGUGCCUCCAGCAGCUCCAGAAAGCGAGCACGUGCAGAGGUUGACCGAGGAGAGAAGGUUGCCAGGCUCCUCACGUUCCAGCAGAAAGCGAAAGGCAACCUUUGAAAGGGAGGGUGAUGGUCAACCAGAGGUUAAGAGAAGACAGCUGGAAAAAGAGCUCUCCGAGACGGACAACUGAGGAAAUCCAAGGAGGCAAGAAGAACGAGGAGCCCAGGUGCCGAUUGAGUUUUGCUGCUUGGAUUUCCCUGGAGGAGCUCUGACGCCUGCCCUUGGAGAGACUGCAUCGUGCAGCCCCAGCCCCACCUCAGCGGAGGCGAGGAGAGAGGCACCCACACCCUUCUGCUCUGGCCGGCAGCUUGCUCUCGGGCACCCCUGCUGUGGUUUGGGCUGGGCUGGCCACUAAACCCACCCACAGAUGGCCUCUUUAACCUGACUCCCCUUCCAAGAAGGAGGGAGAGAACAGAAGAGAGAGAAAGACUUGUCUCGAGCUCCCAGGCUGAUGAUCCCAUCGGCAGCAGGCACUGGGAAUGUCCCAGACUGGAAUCAACGACGGACAAGACCCAGGUUCUGCAUCUGGAGUCAGGAAGGCAUGAGUCGGGAUCAAAGGCCGACCAAGAGACAAGAGUUCUCCUUGGGCUCCCUGGCCAUUGAAGAAAGAGGCUGACCCCUUUCAUCCCUCAGCUUUUCUACCGACAUGAGGCACGUGGGAUGGAGUACCCUCUUGGUCAGUUUUGGGUCGCCUGUCCUGUACGCUCCUCCCCACACCCCACAGGUGUGAGCCCACUAAAGACCCUUUUCCACUGCUGCCCUCCAGCUUUGUGCAGAACAAAGUGAACUGGCCUUGGCUGGUAUAGCAAGAAGAAUAAACAGGAGCCUCUCUGCAUACCGUUCCUUGGGAUUCACUAGAAACAUCAGACCUCGUCUGCUAGAAGCACACACUGUCUGAAAACUAUGCCGUUAAUCUCAGAGAGGCAGUGAGUUAGAAGAGGCUCAGCUGAAAAGUCAAAUCACUGCAGAGCAAAUGGGUUCUGUUUGACCUCAAACCAGGAUGCCCACCAAGUCGGAGCAGCCCCGUCCCCUGUCCAGCUCUCUCUGGACUGAUGCAGACGCACCCCUUUCUGACAGUCAUCACCAGAGUUUUGAAACCAGCU